rnacentral:rRNA from 1 species
AUUGAACGCUGGCGGCAGGCCUAACACAUGCAAGUCGAGCGGUAGAGAGAAGCUUGCUUCUCUUGAGAGCGGCGGACGGGUGAGUAAUGCCUAGGAAUCUGCCUGAUAGUGGGGGAUAACGUCCGGAAACGGCCGCUAAUAGCGCAUACGUCCUACGGGAGACAGUGGGGGCUCUUCGGACCUCACGCUAUCAGAUGAGCCUAGGGCGGAUUAGCUAGUUGGUGAGGUAAUGGCUCACCAAGGGGGACAUCCGUAACUGGUCUGAGAGGAUGAUCAGUCACACUGGAACUGAGACACGGUCCAGACUCCUACGGGAGGCAGCAGUGGGGAAUAUUGGACAAUGGGCGAAAGCCUGAUCCAGCCAUGCCGCGUGUGUGAAGAAGGUCUUCGGAUUGUAAAGCACUUUAAGUUGGGAGGAAGGGUCGUUACCUAAUACGUGGCGAUUUUGACGUUACCGACAGAAUAAGCACCGGCUAACUCUGUGCCAGCCGCCGCGGUAAAAC